UACGGGGGGAGCAAGCGUUGUUCGGAUUUACUGGGCGUAAAGGGCGCGUAGGCGGCCACCGCAAGUCGACUGUGAAAUCUCCGGGCUUAACCCGGAAAGGUCAGCCGAUACUGCGGGGCUAGAGUGCAGAAGGGGCAACUGGAAUUCUCGGUGUAGCGGUGAAAUGCGUAGAUAUCACUUGGAACGCCAAAGGUGAAAACAGUCUGCUGGGGAUCUGCUGACGCUGGAGACACGAAAGCCAGGGGAGCGAACGGG
rnacentral:rRNA from 1 species